rnacentral:rRNA from 1 species
UACAGAGGGUGCAAGCGUUGUUCGGAGUUACUGGGCGUAAAGGGUGUGUAGGCGGUUGCUUAAGUUUGGUGUGAAAUCUCCCGGCUCAACUGGGAGGGUGCGCCGAAUACUGAGUGACUCGAGUGCGGGAGAGGAAAGUGGAAUUCCUGGUGUAGCGGUGAAAUGCGUAGAUAUCAGGAGGAACACCGGUGGUGUAGACGGCUUUCUGGACCGUAACUGGCGCUGAAACACGAAAGCGUGGGUAGCAAACAGG